rnacentral:rRNA from 1 species
AGAGUUUGAUCAUGGCUCAGAAUCAACGCUGGCGGCGUGCCUAACACAUGCAAGUCGCACGAGAAAGUGGAGCAAUCCAUGAGUAAAGUGGCGCACGGGUGAGUAACACGUGAAUUAUCUACCUCCGAGUGGGGAAUAACUGAGAGAAAUCUUAGCUAAUACCGCAUAACACUUACGAGUCAAAGCAGCAAUGCGCUUGGAGAGGAGUUCGCGGCCGAUUAGUUAGUUGGCGGGGUAAUGGCCCACCAAGACGAUGAUCGGUAUCCGGCCUGAGAGGGCGCACGGACACACUGGAACUGAAACACGGUCCAGACUCCUACGGGAGGCAGCAGUGGGGAAUUUUGCGCAAUGGGGGAAACCCUGACGCAGCAACGCCGCGUGGAGGAUGAAAUAUCUUGGUAUGUAAACUCCUUUCGAUGGGGAAGAUUAUGACGGUACCCAUAGAAGAAGCCCCGGCUAACUUCGUGCCAGCAGCCGCGGUAAUACGAGGGGGGCAAGCGUUGUUCGGAUUUAUUGGGCGUAAAGGGUGCGUAGGCGGUUUGGCAAGUCUUGUGUGAAAUCUUCGGGCUCAACCCGAAGUCUGCACAAGAAACUGCCGGGCUUGAGUAUGGGAGAGGUGAGUGGAAUUUCCGGUGUAGCGGUGAAAUGCGUAGAUAUCGGAAGGAACACCUGUGGCGAAAGCGGCUCACUGGACCAUAACUGACGCUGAUGCACGAAAGCUAGGGGAGCAAACAGGAUUAGAUACCCUAGUAGUCC